rnacentral:rRNA from 1 species
UGGGGAAUAUUGCACAAUGGGCGCAAGCCUGAUGCAGCAACGCCGCGUGAACGAUGAAGGUCUUCGGAUCGUAAAGUUCUGUUGCAGGGGAAGAUAAUGACGGUACCCUGUGAGGAAGCCCCGGCUAUCUACGUGCCAGCAGCCGCGGUAAUACGUAGGGGGCUAGCGUUAUCCGGAUUUACUGGGCGUAAAGGGUGCGUAGGUGGUCUUUCAAGUCGGUGGUUAAAGGCUACGGCUCAACCGUAGUUAGCCUCCGAAACUGGAAGACUUGAGUGCAGGAGAGGAAAGUGGAAUUCCCAGUGUAGCGGUGAAAUGCGUAGAUAUUGGGAGGAACACCAGUAGCGAAGGCGGCUUUCUGGACUGCAACUGACACUGAGGCACGAAAGCGUGGGUAGCAAACAGG